GACGAACGCUGGCGGCGUGCUUAACACAUGCAAGUCGAACGGUAAGGCCCUUCGGGGUACACGAGUGGCGAACGGGUGAGUAACACGUGGGUGAUCUGCCCUGCACUUCGGGAUAAGCCUGGGAAACUGGGUCUAAUACCGGAUAGGACCACUGCCUGCAUGGGUGGUGGUGGAAAGCUUUUGCGGUGUGGGAUGGGCCCGCGGCCUAUCAGCUUGUUGGUGGGGUGGUGGCCUACCAAGGCGACGACGGGUAGCCGGCCUGAGAGGGUGACCGGCAACAAUGGGACUGAGAUACGGCCCAGACGCCUACGGGAGGCAGCAGUGGAGAAUAUUGCACAAUGGGCGCAAGCCUGAUGCAGCGACGCCGCGUGAGGGAUGACGGCCUUCGGGUUGUAAACCUCUUUCAGCACCGACGAAGCGCAAGUGACGGUAGGUGCAGAAGAAGGACCGGCCAACUACGUGCCAGCCGCCGCCGUAA
rnacentral:rRNA from 1 species